rnacentral:rRNA from 1 species
UACGUAGGGUCCAAGCGUUAUCCGGAUUUAUUGGGCGUAAAGAGCAUGUAGGUGGCUUUCUCUGUCUUGUCUUAAAUGUCCAGGCUCAACCUGGAAACUGGGCGAGAUACUGGAAGGCUAGUGGUCAGCAGGGGCAAAUGGAAUUCCCGGUGUAGGAGUGAAAUCCGUUGAUAUCGGGAGGAACACCAAUGGCGAAGGCAAUUUGCUAGGCUGAUUCAGACACUGAGAUGCGAAAGCGUGGGUAGCGAACGGG